rnacentral:rRNA from 1 species
UCGAACGGGAACCUUUAUUUCGGUAAAGGAGAGAGUGGCAAACGGGUGAGUAACACGUAGGCAACCUGCCGACAGGAUGGGGACAACAUUCCGAAAGGAAUGCUAAUACCGAAUGGAGUCCGAGGAUGGCAUCAUCCUUGGAUAAAAGAUGGCCUCUGAAUAUGCUAUCGCCUGUCGAUGGGCCUGCGUCUGAUUAGCCAGUUGGCGGGGUAACGGCCCACCAAAGCGACGAUCAGUAGCCGGUCUGAGAGGAUGAACGGCCACAUUGGGACUGAGACACGGCCCAGACUCCUACGGGAGGCAGCAGUGGGGAAUCUUCCACAAUGGGCGAAAGCCUGAUGGAGCAACGCCGCGUGAGUGAAGAAGGUCUUCGGAUCGUAAAGCUCUGUUGCACGGGACGAAAACUGGGUUUGAAAACAUUGAACCUGGGUGACGGUACCGAGCGAGGAAGCCACGGCUAACUACGUGCCAGCAGCCGCGGUAAUACGUAGGUGGCGAGCGUUGUCCGGAAUUAUUGGGCGUAAAGGGAGCGCAGGCGGACAUAUAAGUCCAUCUUAAAAGUGCGGGGCUCAACCCCGUGAGGGGAUGGAAACUGUAUGCCUUGAGUGCAGGAGAGGAAAGCGGAAUUCCCAGUGUAGCGGUGAAAUGCGUAGAUAUUGGGAGGAACACCAGUGGCGAAGGCGGCUUUCUGGACUGUAACUGACGCUGAGGCUCGAAAGCCAGGGGAGCGAACGGGAUU